rnacentral:misc_RNA from 1 species
GAAAUGCGAUAAGUAAUGUGAAUUGCAGAAUUCAGUGAAUCAUCGAAUCUUUGAACGCACAUUGCGCCCGCCAGCACUCUGGCGGGCAUGCCUGUUCGAGCGUCAUUUCAACCAUCAAGCCACCGGGCUUGCGUUGGGGACCUGCGGCUGCCCGCAGGCCAUGAAAACCAGUGGCGGGCUCGCUGUCACCCCGGUCCUAGUAGUAUCAUCUCGUCCUGGGCGUGGCUGCGGGCUCCGUCUGUUAAACCUUCUCACAUCCAAAGGUUGACCUCGGAUCAGGUAGGGAUGCCCGCUGAACUUAA